GAGCUGAAGAUCUCAACCUUCUGUUAACUUGUCUGAGAUCAGCUUUGGUAAAUCAAAAUCAAAUCCUUAUCAAGGAGCCGGGGGGGAAAGACUCCGACCGGACCCAAAGCCAGCUGUUAGGGAGCAACCUCCCUCUGCCCCUCAGAAAGGAUCCUUUGUACCAGGCCCCAUGGGCGCCUCAGAGCUGUGGUUUUAGCUUUCACUGACACCAACUUAAGCCAAUAGGACCCUCGCCUAUUCAUGGACAGGAAGGGAGAAAACUGCAAGAAACAACUUGGUUCAGGGGGCAGAAAUUCCUAAAUGAAGUUAUCUGCCGUGGUUGAGAUCGCUCAUGUGCUGCAGACCAACCGAGAGGUCUCGCUUGCGUGGAAUAUUUCACAGCGCUUUGGAAGAUUAAAACAGCAAAGAGACAAGUGCUUCCAGCUGGGCCUGCAGACAGAUUCCUCCAGAUGUGCCACGCUCUGAUUGGCCCGUUGGAGUAACGUAGUCACCGGCCUCGUCUCACUGCGUCUCACAUUUCCAUUCUGAGAGAGAGAGAGAGAGAGAGCGCCAGGGAGGACGGGUGGAGAGGAUCCUCUCACGUCGGGAUGACUGUCCACCUGUCGGUCAGCUGGGGAGGAAAAGAGCACAAAACCAAGGAGAUCAGAUUUGUUCAGCUGUAUGCUCGGAUGGAAAUGUGGAGCCGUUGCUUCGUUGCAUUAGAGCGAGAAGAACAUCCGCUGAUAGGUGUUUAUUUAUUUUAAGCAUUGCUCUGAGAGAAUGGCCUGUUUUUGCUUCUUGUGUUUAGCAUGAAAUGUGUCUUUAAGCAGUUGGAAACGGGACAACGUGAUCGUGAAGGGCAGGGAGAAAGAGAGAGUUUAAAGAGGAGGUGCAAACACACACACACACACACACACACACACACACACACACACACACCGUAUAAUCUUCUCACACAGACAGGGACAGGGAGACGACAGAGAUGAGAAAAAGAUUUAAAAACAGUUAAAGGAAGCAGAGUGAUGGAUAAAAGGGUUCAGACAUACUGUGACACGCACACACAGAUAGAGGCACUAAUUAAACAGGGCACUGCGCAGACACACACAGACACACACACACACACACACACACACACACACACACACAGACACACACACACACACACACACAGCAGACAUGCUGGGGAGGUUGAGGUUUCUAAAUUACAGCCUAUAUUCCAGUCAGUUUUUGUAUUUCUCCUCCCAAACUUGAAACUGACUUUCCACACAGUAUCAACGUUGGGAAAACUGAAAACUUUGACUCUGGCUCUCUAAAAAGAAAGGAGUUAAAUAAUAAAUAAUAAAGCAUUUCUAAACUACUGUCAGCUUGUACAAUCGGGAAUCAGGAGAUGAUGCAGAUUUGACGGACUGUCUUAAAAAUCGGUAAAAAAGUCAACAGUUGUAAAUUUCCAUUUCCCUAAAAAAAUAAAAGUUGUGUUGAUGAGUAGGAUCAUUAUGCUAAAAAACUGACCAAACACCAGAGUCAUCUUGCUGCAGUUAUAUGGGAACUGAAUGAUCAAUGUGACACAUAUCUACAGGUACGGUUCAUACCAGACCAUGUUCCGCUCACAUCUUCAGCUCAAACUUCAGGAAUUCAACUAAAAUGCAUGAUGUUGUUCUCCCGGUUUAAACAAUGUCGGGGUGCAGAUCAUUGGUUUGUUAAUACACCCCCCCCCUCCCCAGAUGAUCAGAGGUUAAACGAGUAACGUCAAUACCUCUUUAUUUAAUCUUGGUGAUGAACCACUGCACCUUCAGAUAGUCAGUUAAAAGAAAGCAGCAGCAAUAGGCAACAGAAAUAUUCAGGCAUGUGGAUUUAGCUCCAUGCAGAUCGAGAGGAGAACCCGGAGGCUGCAGGCACUUGCAGGCUCCAGUCUUGGAGCACGACGAUCAAAAAGGCUGGCGGAGUCAAAGAAUCCAGCUCCCUUGUUGGCCCGACAGGCCCGAGCGCAUUUCGGCAUGCCGAGGCCCCCCCGGCACUAUUCCCCCUGCCGACUGACUCUGUAGCACCCAGGAGGGAAGGAACCGGGGGAGAACUAUAGUGAGAGACUCGCCGGGGCUUUCUAAAGGAGCUCUCGUUUGCUUUAAGUGCUUCAAAUUAUACUUCAUCCUAGUUGGACAUGAGUAUUUGUGUCCCUAACACCUUUUCUCGCUCAUUCCCUUCAUUCUUAUAUGUGAUCUUUCCCUGGUUUCUUGUAUCGUUUCAGCGUCUCCCCACCAACUCUUCAUCUUUGCCUCUCUUGCUCCCCGUCUUCCUCCCCUCCCUUAUUUCACCACAUCUGCAGGCUUUUUCCAGUGGAAUCCAUUUCUUGAACUUGUGCUAAAGGGAGGCGGGCUUAUUGAGGAGCUGCUCUAAUGUCUGUUUGGGGAUGGGUGGGAGUGAGGGGUACGGGUAAGGGAGAGUAUAAAUACGUGUCAGGAAACACAAGCGAGCAGGGUGGAGAAGUUGAGUCACGGGGAAUAGCUCUUAAUCACUUAUAAGAAAACAGCUUUUUCUCGAGCAAAAAAAGGGCUUCUUGCAUAUUUUUCUUUUGCAUAAAAUCAAAGCAAAGACGAGUCCCACCGAAAAGCUUUUCUGUCAAUGAGAGAGCUCGAGUGAUGAGAAAGAACGUGAGAAUUGCAGGGAAGUAAAAAGGCAAACGAGAAAAAAAAAUCAAAGUAGGGAACCUCCCUUGGCUGGGACUAACUCAUGGUUAGAUAUGCAUGUGUGUCCACAUGACUCACAGUCUGGUCAGCAAACGCAUAAUAAACGUGACAGAAAUAUCCCCGCACAAUGUCACCAGGGUCCACGGCAGCCGGUUAAUUGCUAGAUAGAGCUGAGCCGUGGUUUGAGAGAGGAAAAUAAAGUCCAACUCAUAGAAGUGUAAAGAGAGAGAAUGCUUUUCUUUUAUAUUUCUUUUACAAAGGCUGCAGAAUCAUCAUGCAAAAGAGUUAAGUUGAUCUUUAGACAGAGGUCAGUCAAGGCUUUGGUGGAUUGGAGAUAAGAAGUGGGGGGUUGUCCUUUGGUGGUUGAUUUAAAAAAAUCAUGAAUUCAGUCUAAGGAAUGCAGGUGCUUUUUCAGUUACUCACUAAAUGUCACUAAAUGAAUGACCAAUAGUCACUUUCUGAUUUAAACAUUGUUAAAAGGAGUGCGUCACAUUGUCAGUAUAUCAGUAUGUUGACAUUAAUAUUCACAUCCGAAUAUCAACGUGCUGAUCACCAACUCAAUGCCUCAUCAGGUGGAGGAAGUCCCCCAGAGGCAGUUGUUGGCUACAGUUGCCCCGAGGGAGGAGUAAGUUAGUCGGUCGGUCCGCCACUUGGGCCCAGACUGAUGAAGACGAUCCGAUUGGCUCCUCAACCAGCUUCAUCAACUGGUUGACAUGUUUGUCAUAGACCAUCCUUACCAACCAAUCCAGCUUUAACUUUUGAUUUGUUUAUGGGCAGACAGGAUUCUCCCUAAACAGCCUCACCUGUACCUUAGUUAGUCACUAACAUGCUAAGUAUUUGAGCUUCCCCCUGUCUUGAGGUUGAUGAGUCUUAUAUGGUUUUUACAUGAGUUGCCUGAAAAGAGUCUAGUUUACAUAGAGAUUUUCUAUGAUAAAAACUACGACUAAUAUUCCACCUAUGAAUUUAAGUUUUUAUUGUCAUAGAAAAGGUGGUUGAUAAUGAGGGACUGACGUGCAUAAAAAGAACUACUCUGUCUUUAACGUAGUGUUGUUGACAUCGUCUGAGGUGUAUUUCGUUUGUAGCAUAGAACGCUUUUCAACUCUGCCGAUGGCAUUUACACAGAAUAAUAUACCGUAGAGACAUCUCUCAGAAUAAAACACGUAAUUGCAUUAACCUGCCUUCUUAAUCGUUUGCUGUAAUCCAAAAUCCAAUAAAAAAAUACCAUUUACCAUUUACCAUGGCACCGCAGCACCCUUUUGUCACAGCGAGAAGGUUAGCAUGCUGAUAUUAGCAUUGUGUGUUGUAGCAAUAUGGUUUUAAUUGGUCAACAUUCUUUCUGUAAACUUAAACCCCAAAAUUAAAUCAUAGUCUUCCCAAAAGUCACAGGAGGCACAGCAGACUUAUAGCAUAUUGCUUAGCCCUUGAACAAAAAUAGAAAUUAAGCCAUUUAGAGUCACUGAGACAUAGUUUCCGGCUAGUUGAAACGAAGUUUGCAAUCUGACUGUACAGUUGUGUGUGUGCAGAUGUUGAAAAACGAUAAAGAGUUGUAAACUACCCUGAACGGGAGCGUUUUGGCUGUGGAAGGGUUAAGCUCAGUUAUGGUGAGUGGAGGCGAGAGCGCCGAAAUCCUUUCCAUAUUACGGCACACAUGAGGAACACAUUUAAGUGAGUUCAGCUGUCUGGAGUCUCUCUCUCUCCCUCUCUCUCUCUCUCUCUCUCUCUCUCUCUCUCUCUCUCUCUCUCUCUCCCCCUCUCUCUCUCUCUCUCUCUCUCUCGUUAGGGGCGAGUUUAACCCAGCAGUUUAUCAUUACACAUCUGGGAAAAUGCACUCAGAGACCCAGAUGACACAGCAGAGAAAAGAGAAAAUGCGCUCUACCUCUGUGGUAAACGACAAACGAGAGUUUUUAAAAGAGCCUUCGGACAAAAGGUUUCUAAUGAAACAGCGUGCAUCAUAAAGUACCACUUUGUCCCUAUGAGAGACAGGACAGGGACUCUUAGCGCUGUUAAGCAGUCAAUGACAUACGUUAGAGAGGGGCCCUGCAAAGAAAUAGUGAACACGACACAUCGUGGUACUGGUAUUAAGACAUGAUGGAAAUCGGAAACAUCAACUUCUCUCCUGCUGUCACCUCCCUUCAGUAACUCCACCUCUUUUAAAUGUCCUACAGUUUUAUUCUGGUGGGAUGGACGCAGACUGGCUGAACUUUCGGGGAGGGAGGAAUCUUAGGGUUCUUUUUUUCACCCCAGUAUGGAAACUGUUCGGUUCUUGGUCCGCAUUCCACAAUAAUAAAGAGUGUUUCUCUCUUUUCUCUCUUUGAUUUUCCUCUUUCUUGUUCUUUCCAUCCUGUCACUGUCUUCCUCAAGACACUUACACUCACAGAGAGGGUGGGAUCCCCGCAGCCAGUAUCAUGGGUGGGAAACAAGAGUUACAGAUGUGAGGUGAAAGUUGAGGUGGAAAAUGCUUUUCAGUGGAAGCAAAAUCAUUUAACACUUUGAUAUGAGGUGCAGGAAUUGUUUUCUCAAAAGGAAACCGAUUUGAAGGUGUAUCCAAGAGGAGUUUUGUUUAAAAAUACUCUUCAGCUCAGCUCACAGUCUUCAGUGAGGCCUGGCCUCUCUGGCUUCAGUCGGUGUGACAACAAGGAAGUAAAACGACUCCCCCAGACCUCCCCCGAACUUGAAUGAUUUCACAGAUGGGAAGGAGGAGGAGAACAAUCUACUGAAGAGUUGGAGGCGGGAACAACAUUCUUUUCUAACAAUCAUAUUGCUGUACUAAAACCCCUGGUGGGCUUUUUUAUCUUGACAAAACCGAUAAUAAAAUCAACUUAAUUAGUUUAUAUGAAAGCCAAAGAUGUGAUACAAGAGUGACAGCCUGAAGCAUUUGACCCACACAAUCCCAAACAGUAACGCUGGUACAGCAGAUUCAGGCCAGCGGCUUCAGGGUCGGAGCAGGACGGGUGUAAAGCAGAAAGUGGUCACAUUAAACUACCACAGAUACUGAUUGAACUAUGGCUUCUUCUCUACUGAACGCGUCAUGAUUCAAGAAUCAACCAAUUAAACGUUUAAAAAAAGAAAGAAAACAUGCCUAUUUAUUAGGAAAUUCAGAUGAAAAUACCCGGAUGUUUCACAUUACGGAGUGCGAGCACCUCGUUCUCUGGCUCUGUGCAUAUGAACGUGGCAGAGAAGAUAAAUAACUGAAUUUGGCAGCAAGUUAAUAACUGUUUAGGACACCAUGGCAUUACGUGACAGAUCAGAAGUUGUAAUUCCAUAAUAGGGCCACUUUGUAAAAUUUGCAUCUGUCUCUCCUGCAGGCUUGAUUUAUGCAUAUUACUGAAUUUUAAAUUAAAGUCGCCCUCUGUUUAUUUUCAUAUCUUAAAUCUAAACUAUGCACGUGUGCAAUACAGACCCCUGUACAACCUUGCAAAAUGAAGAUCAAUAAAUGUGAACUGAGACCAUGUAUUUGUAAUGCCCUUAAGGCCUUGCUCCUCUGGAUUCCACUCGGCCUUGUCUGGGCUCAACGGAGCACUCGAACAGUCUGCCACCUGCCACCAAUCAAACCUCCGGCUGCCACAGAAAACACCUGGCGGAUCCUCGCUGAGGGAAGUGCACCUCUUAAACCUCCCCGAGCUUGCGGUGAGAACGACGCAGCCUGAGGACAGAGACGACUUAGGUCACAGCUGAAAGUCUCUGGUCUGAGUUUAGUUGUUUAACUUGGUACAUGGUGGAGAACUAUAGUACAUCUAAAGAUCCAGACACCGUCUAUGUGUGUGGAAUAUCAUCCACUUCCGUCUCCACAGACAUUUGUAACUGCCCACUGUUUGUGUAUUCUGAAUAAAUCCUGCAAAACUAAA